GACGGAGGGUGCUAGCGUUGUUCGGAAUCACUGGGCGUAAAGGGCGCGUAGGCGGCCUCAGGUGUCGGAUGUGAAAGCCCGGGGCUCAACCCCGGAGGUGCAUCCGAAACUCUGGGGCUGGAGGUCGGAAGAGGAGGGUGGAAUACCCAGUGUAGAGGUGAAAUUCGUAGAUAUUGGGUGGAACACCGGUGGCGAAAGCGGCUCUCUGGUCCGGACCUGACGCUGAGACGCGAAAGCGUGGGGAGCAAACAGG
rnacentral:rRNA from 1 species